UGAAUACGAGACGCUAAGGCGUCGAAGUAGUGUAUGUCAUACUUCCAAGAAAAGCUUGCACUGUCAUAAGUAAAAAAUGCCUGUACCAUAACCGACACAGGUGGGUAGGUAGAGUAUACUAAGGGGCGCGAGAUAACUCUCUCUAAGGAACUCGGCAAAAUAACUCCGUAACUUCGGGAGAAGGAGUACCUUAUUCUAUAAGGUUGCAAUAACAAGAUCCAAGCAACUGUUUAUCAAAAACACAGGUCUCCGCUAAGUCGUAAGACGAUGUAUGGGGGCUGACGCCUGCCCAGUGCCAGAAGGUUAAAGAAGUCGGUUAGCAUUAGCGAAGCUGGUAACUGAAGCCCUGGUGAACGGCGGCCGUAACAAUAACGGUCCUAAGGUAGCGAAAUUCCUUGUCGGGUAAGUUCCGACCCGCACGAAAGGCGUAAUGAUUUGGAUACUGUCUCGGAGAGGGGCUCGGUGAAAUAGACUUGUCUGUGAAGAUGCGGACUACCUGCACCAGGACAGAAAGACCCUAUGAAGCUUUACUGUAACUUGAAAUUGAAAUUGGACUUUAUUCGCGCAGUAUAGGUGGGAGGUGUUGAUUAUAAUCUUGCGGGAUUAUUGGAGCCAUCAGUGAGAUACCACUCUUGUAAUGUUAGAUUUCUAACUUUGAAUCAUUAUCUGGUCAAAGGACAGUUUCAGGCGGGCAGUUUGACUGGGGCGGUCGCCUCCCAAACGGUAACGGAGGCGUACAAAGGUUUCCUCUGAACGGGUAGAAAUCGUAUCUAGAGUGUAAAGGCAUAAGGAAGCUUGACUGUGAGACCUACAAGACGAACAGGGACGAAAGUCGGUCUUAGUGAUCUGACGGUACUGAGUGGAAAGGCCGUCACUCAACGGAUAAAAGUUACUCUAAGGAUAACAGGCUGAUCUCCCCCAAGAGUUCACAUCGACGGGGAGGUUUGGCACCUCGAUGUCGGCUCAUCGCAUCCUGGGGCGGUAGUACGUCCCAAGGGUUGGGCUGUUCGCCCAUGAAAGCGGUACGCGAGCUGGGUUCAGAACGUCGUGAGACAGUUCGGUCCAUAUCCGGUGUAGGCGUUAGAAUAUUGAGAGGAGCCUUCUUUAGUACGAGAGGACCGAGAAGGACAUACCUCUGGUGUACCAGUUAUCGUGCCAACGGUAAACGCUGGGUAGCUAUGUAUGGAGUGGAUAACCGCUGAAAGCAUCUAAGUGGGAAGCCCACCUCAAGAUAAGUAUUCUCA
rnacentral:rRNA from 1 species